rnacentral:rRNA from 1 species
ACACUCCUACGGGAGGCAGCAGUGGGGAAUAUUGGACAAUGGGCGCAAGCCUGAUCCAGCCAUGCCGCGUGAGUGAUGAAGGCCCUAGGGUUGUAAAGCUCUUUCACCGGAGAAGAUAAUGACGGUAUCCGGAGAAGAAGCCCCGGCUAACUUCGUGCCAGCAGCCGCGGUAAUACGAAGGGGGCUAGCGUUGUUCGGAAUUACUGGGCGUAAAGCGCACGUAGGCGGAUCGAUCAGUCAGGGGUGAAAUCCCAGGGCUCAACCCUGGAACUGCCUUUGAUACUGUCGAUCUGGAGUAUGGAAGAGGUGAGUGGAAUUCCGAGUGUAGAGGUGAAAUUCGUAGAUAUUCGGAGGAACACCAGUGGCGAAGGCGGCUCACUGGUCCAUUACUGACGCUGAGGUGCGAAAGCGUGGGGAGCAAACAGGAUUAGAUACCCCAGUAGUCCCAUGA